rnacentral:rRNA from 1 species
AGCAGUCGCCGCGGUAACACAGAGGGUGCGAGCGUUAAUCGGAUUUACUGGGCGUAAAGCGUGCGUAGGCGGCUUUUUAAGUCGGAUGUGAAAUCCCUGAGCUUAACUUAGGAAUUGCAUUCGAUACUGGGAAGCUAGAGUAUGGGAGAGGAUGGUAGAAUUCCAGGUGUAGCGGUGAAAUGCGUAGAGAUCUGGAGGAAUACCGAUGGCGAAGGCAGCCAUCUGGCCUAAUACUGACGCUGAGGUACGAAAGCAUGGGGAGCAAACAGGAUUAGAUACCCGCGUAGUCCCUGUCUCUUAUAC